UACGUAGGGACCAAGCGUUGUUCGGAUUUACUGGGCGUAAAGGGCGCGUAGGCGGCAAAUUAAGUCAUCUGUGAAAUCUCCGAGCUUAACUCGGAACGGUCAACUGAUACUGUGCGGCUAGAGUGCGGAAGGGGCAACUGGAAUUCUUGGUGUAGCGGUGAAAUGCGUAGAUAUCAAGAGGAACACCUGCGGCGAAGGCGGGUAGCUGGGCCGACACUGACGCUGAGGCGCGAAAGCCAGGGGAGCGAACGGG
rnacentral:rRNA from 1 species